CUCCCAGACUCCUACGGGAGGCAGCAGUGAGGAAUAUUGGUCAAUGGCCGGGAGGCUGAACCAGCCAAGUCGCGUGAGGGAAGACGGCCCUACGGGUUGUAAACCUCUUUUGUCAGGGAGCAAGGUGCAGGUCGGGACCUGCUGUGAGAGUACCUGAAGAAAAAGCAUCGGCUAACUCCGUGCCAGCAGCCGCGGUAAUACGGAGGAUGCGAGCGUUAUCCGGAUUUAUUGGGUUUAAAGGGUGCGCAGGCGGCACGGCAAGCCGGCGGUCAAAUCGCGGGGCUCAACCCCGCCCAGCCGUCGGAACUGCCGGGCUAGAGUGGGCGAGAAGUGCGCGGAAUGCGUGGUGUAGCGGUGAAAUGCAUAGAUAUCACGCAGAACUCCGAUUGCGAAGGCAGCUUACUAAACUGCCACUGACAUUGAUGCUCGAAAGUGUGGGUAUCAAACAGGAUUAGAUACCCGUGUACA
rnacentral:rRNA from 1 species